CCUACGGGGGGCAGCAGUGAGGAAUAUUGGUCAAUGGACGAGAGUCUGAACCAGCCAAGUAGCGUGAAGGAUGACUGCCCUAUGGGUUGUAAACUUCUUUUAUAUGGGAAUAAAACGUUCCACGUGUGGGAUUUUGUAUGUACCAUAUGAAUAAGGAUCGGCUAACUCCGUGCCAGCAGCCGCGGUAAUACGGAGGAUCCGAGAGUUAUCCGGAUUUAUUGGGUUUAAAGGGAGCGUAGGUGGAUUGUUAAGUCAGUUGUGAAAGUUUGCGGCUCAACCGUAAAAUUGCAGUUGAAACUGGCAGUCUUGAGUACAGUAGAGGUGGGCGGAAUUCGUGGUGUAGCGGUGAAAUGCUUAGAUAUCACGAAGAACUCCGAUUGCGAAGGCAGUUCACUGGACUGCAACUGACACUGAGGCUCGAAAGUGUGGGUAUCAAACAGGAUUAGAUACCCCGGUAGUC
rnacentral:rRNA from 1 species